GAGCUCAUUUUAGCAGCAUGUGUACUAACAUUGGGACGACAGAGAUAAGAUUAGCAGGGCCCCUGCACAAAGAUGACAUGCAAAUUAAUGAAGUGGUACACAUUUUU
rnacentral:snRNA from 1 species